GUCAAGUUAGUUUAAUAACAUAAACGUCAGCCUGUGGAUUUGAAGAUGAAAGCCUUAUUUCACUUGACC
rnacentral:tRNA from 1 species